GAUGAACGCUGGCGGUAUGCCUAACACAUGCAAGUCGAACGGACUCUUCGGAGUUAGUGGCGGACGGGUGAGUAACGCGUGAGAAUCUGGCUUUGGGUUCGGGACAACCACUGGAAACGGUGGCUAAUACCGGAUGCGCCGAGAGGUAAAAGAGAAAUUGCCUGAAGAUGAGCUCGCGUCUGAUUAGCUAGUUGGUGAGGUAAAGGCUCACCAAGGCAGCGAUCAGUAGCUGGUCUGAGAGGAUGACCAGCCACACUGGGACUGAGACACGGCCCAGACUCCUACGGGAGGCAGCAGUGGGGAAUUUUCCGCAAUGGGCGAAAGCCUGACGGAGCAAUACCGCGUGAGGGAAGAAGGCUCUUGGGUUGUAAACCUCUUUUCUUAGGGAAGAACAAAAUGACGGUACCUAAGGAAUCAGCAUCGGCUAACUCCGUG
rnacentral:rRNA from 1 species